rnacentral:rRNA from 1 species
AAACAUAAGAGUUUGAUCCUGGCUCAGGACGAACGCUGGCGGCGUGCCUAACACAUGCAAGUCGAGCGGAGAUGCCAAGGAGCAAUCCAAGGUGUCUUAGCGGCGGACGGGUGAGUAACACGUGGGUAACCUACCCCAAGGAGGGGGAUAACAGGUCGAAAGGCCUGCUAAUACCGCAUAAAG